ACACAUGCAAGUCGAACGGAGUUGUGUUGAAAGCUUGCUGGAAAUACAACUUAGUGGCGGACGGGUGAGUAACACGUGAGUAACCUGCCUUUCAGAGUGGAAUAACGUUUGGAAACGAACGCUAAUACCGCAUAACAUGAGAGAACGGCAUCGUUCUUUCAUCAAAGAUUUUAUCGCUGAGAGAUGGGCUCGCGGCCGAUUAGGUAGUUGGUGAGAUAACAGCCCACCAGGCCGACGAUCGGUAGCCGGACUGAGAGGUUGAACGGCCACAUUGGGACUGAGACACGGCCCAGACUCCUACGGGAGGCAGCAGUGGGGGAUAUUGCACAAUGGAGGAAACUCUGAUGCAGCGACGCCGCGUGAGGGAAGACGGUCUUCGGAUUGUAAACCUCUGUCUUUAGGGACGAAAAAAUGACGGUACCUAAGGAGGAAGCCACGGCUAACUACGUGCCAGCAGCCGCGGUAAUACGUAGGUGGCAAGCGUUGUCCGGAAUUACUGGGUGUAAAGGGAGCGUAGGCGGGGAGACAAGUUGAAUGUUUAAACUAUCGGCUCAACUGAUAGUCGCGUUCAAAACUAUCACUCUUGAGUGCAGUAGAGGUAGGCGGAAUUCCUAGUGUAGCGGUGAAAUGCGUAGAUAUUAGGAGGAACACCAGUGGCGAAGGCGGCCUACUGGGCUGUAACUGACGCUGAGGCUCGAAAGCGUGGGUAGCAAACAGGAUUAGAUACCCUGGUAGUCCACGCCGUAAACGAUGAUUACUAGGUGUGGGGGGACUGACCCCUUCCGUGCCGGAGUUAACACAAUAAGUAAUCCACCUGGGG
rnacentral:rRNA from 1 species